rnacentral:lncRNA from 1 species
UUCGCACCCAAGUCUUCUGAUUCAUAAGGUAUUACAAUUCAAUCUUUUUCUCUUUUCAACUUCUGAUCAUCGAGUUUUCCCAAUCUUUCUGAAUUUGUUCAAAAUACAUAUCCUUCGUCUUCUCGAUCAAGAUUUUCCACUUCCGUCUCCACCAAACGUCUGUGGUUUGUGGCCGCCUCCAGCCGUCUCUAUUGCCAUUUGAAUUCUGGGUAUGUUCUUUGUCGUUUGUAUAUGUUUUGUGCAAAUUUUUGUUUGACAUCUCUGACGUCUUGUCGAUCAAGAAUUAGGAUUUCCAAUUAUGGGUUUCACGUUUCACACACAGUGUCGAUGAA